GUGGGUGGUUGUCUGACCCUGGUUGCAGAAGUGGUUGAUGGAGCACGCGCAGGAGCCUCGUUGUUGCUGUGUGUGUGUGUGCGCCUCUUACCUGCAACGAAACAGCUCACCUCAGUACAUUAUAAUAAAUCAAUUUGGGGGUACUCCGAUCACAUAUACACACACACGUACACAUAUGCAAACACAGGCUCAAAAUGCAAAUAUAGAUAAACCUACAGCACGCUGAGAUAGAGCGGGGGAGAGGGUAGGUAGCAUCGACGUUGUAGUCUUUUCUGUUGGGGACAUAUAACGUCUACCACUGAAUCAUAGUCACCACGGUACAAGUCAAGUUUUCUUCUAGGCUGUUGAUAUAAACAAAAAUUCUAUUCCUGUGGUCAGAGUGCAAGUGUGUUGCCUGACCAGCACAACGACCAGCUAAAAAUAAACUCCAGCUAAGAUUUGAACUCAAAACACUCUGUUCAGCUGCCAAGCGCUUGAAGUGGUGCACAUUUGAAUCUAACGAAUUAACUUCGUAAGGGCUAUGCGUUUAUCUAGAUGCAGAUCUAAAUUUGGAUUGACAGGACCAGAUUGAUUGGGCCCUUCAGGAUUGAAGAUUAUUGCAUCCUAGCCCAAAACUUUCACGGGACAGGAUGCGAACCCGGAAGUAUCGAGAUGACAGUCUAGAGUGCAUACCAUACGAACAGGCAGCUGUUAUAAGGAAUUUUUAAAAUUAAAGUAAUGCAUCAUAGUUAAAUAUAUAUGACUAUUGAUAACUCCGA